UUUAGGGUUAAUUCUACUAUGAUGAUUGUUAUGACUAUUGGGUGGAGAAAACAAUUACAAGGAGAUGGAGAGACUAUAAAUGUAACUUGAAGUCUAAUGUCUACUAUAAUCAUGAUACUGUGGAGGAAGUCAUUUGUAAUAGACCAAAAGAUGUAGAUGAAGCGCAAUGGGCAACUCUUGUUGUUUUUUGGAGUUCCGAGAAGGGAAAGAAGCGUAGUGAGAUCAACACAAAUAAUAGAAAGAAGCAAAAAAUUAUGCACACUUCUCGGACUAAAAGUUUCGCUAGAAAGGCGGAAGAGAUGCGAGAGAAAACUGGUGUUAACCCAAGCAGAGCUGAAUUAUUUCUUGAGACGCAUAAGAAGAAGGCUGGGGGUUAUUCGAAUGAUUAAACCGCAGCUUUAGCGGUAAAUAAUUACUAUAUUUGUGUAGUUUAUAUAUACAUGAUAUUUGCAUCUUUGGUGGUUCAAUCCAGAUAAUUUUUAUAGGAGAAACUUACAGUAGUAAUGGAGGCUACAUCUUCGAAACCAUCCCAAACCACAAAUACCACAAAUAUUGCUUCAUAGAAUGAUGCCUAUGCUUAGAUUUUUGGAAAAGAACAUGCUGGACGUGUACAUGAUAUUGGUACAGGACCUCCCCCAUCCCAAGUGUUCGGAAACAGUUCUUGUCAUCGCUUUAAUGGAAUGUCAUUCACUUCUAGAAAUAGUGGAGAGAUGCAAGAGUUGAAAUCUAUGAUGGUGAUAAUGAUGACACAUUGGACAACUAUCUCAAAGGAUGGAUGUUCUAGAGACUCCAAAUGCUACAUCACAGGCACCAGAUUCAUCAAGUGAACAUAAGCGAUUCUCAUCUUCGAGUCAUGAUUCUCAAGAUCGAUCUACUCGGUAGGUCCCUAGAGUAUGCAUAUUUGGCGAAACAUGUU